UACGACUACAUAUCAGGCAUAUCAAUAAGCGGAGGAAAAGAAACUAACAAGGAUUCCCCUAGUAACGGCGAGUGAAGCGGGAAGAGCUCAAAUUUGAAAUCUUAAAGGGUUUCCCUUUACGAAUUGUAGUUUAAAGAAGUGUUUUCUGUUGGAGUUUCGGUAAAAGUUCUUUGGAAUAGGACAUCAUAGAGGGUGAGAAUCCCGUAUUUGACCGUUACUUUCCAGCUGUGUGAUACACUUUCAAAGAGUCGGAUUGUUUGGGAAUGCAGUCCAAAAUGGGUGGUAAAUUUCAUCUAAAGCUAAAUAUUGGCGAGAGACCGAUAGCGAACAAGUACCGUGAGGGAAAGAUGAAAAGAACUUUGAAAAGAGAGUUAAACAGUACGUGAAAUUGUCAAAAGGGAAGCGUUUGACACCAGUGUUGUUUAGUUGAAAAAUCAAUUAAAUAAUUUUUGAUUUUAAGUAGUAUUGACUUCAUCAGCUUGCUGCUUUCUUUUCGGAAAUUAUUUAAUGCACUUUUCAGUUAACAAGUCAACAUCAAUUUCUUUUGUUGUAAAAGGGUCAGUAGGAAGGUGGCUUUACACUUCGGUGUAAGUGUUUAUAGCCUUUGACUUCUGCAAUCGGAGAGAUUGAGGUCAUGCAGCGUAGAUCCUUCGGGGUUAGAUACAUUUGUGCUAAGCUUAUAGCUUUGUCAUAGACAACAUGUUGACUAUGAUUCAGUCAUGUAGCUUACUCGCUUGUAUGCUAUUUUACCUACGCUUAGGAUGUUGACGCGCGUGUGUGCGUG
rnacentral:rRNA from 1 species